CGGGUUGUAGCUCAGUAAUAGAGCCCUUGUCUUGCACACACGAGGUCCUGGGUUCAAUCCUCAGCACCACAU
rnacentral:tRNA from 1 species